rnacentral:rRNA from 1 species
ACCGGGAUUGCCUCAGUAACGGCGAGUGAAGCGGCAAGAGCUCAAAUUUGAAAGCUGGCUCCUUCGGGGUCCGCAUUGUAAUUUGCAGAGGAUGCUUCGGGUGCAGCCCCCGUCUAAGUGCCCUGGAACGGGCCGUCAUAGAGGGUGAGAAUCCCGUAUGGGGCGGGGUGUCUGCGUCCGUGUGAGGCUCCUUCGACGAGUCGAGUUGUUUGGGAAUGCAGCUCUAAAUGGGUGGUAAAUUUCAUCUAAAGCUAAAUACUGGCCGGAGACCGAUAGCGCACAAGUAGAGUGAUCGAAAGAUGAAAAGCACUUUGAAAAGAGAGUUAAACAGCACGUGAAAUUGUUGAAAGGGAAGCGCUUGCAACCAGCACUCGCUCGCGGGGUUCAGCCGGGCUUCGGCCCGGUGUACUUCCCCGCGGGCGGGCCAGCGUCGGUUUGGGCGGCCGGUCAAAGGCCUCCGGAAUGUAGCGCCCUUCGGGGCGCCUUAUAGCCGGGGGUGCAAUGCGGCCAGCCUGGACCGAGGAACGCGCUUCGGCACGGACGCUGGCAUAAUGGUUGUACACGACCCGUCUUGAAACACGGACCAAGGAGUCUUACCAUCUACGCGAGUGUUCGGGUGUCAAACCCGUACGCGCAGUGAAAGCGAACGGAGGUGGGAGCCCCCUCGCGGGGCGCACCAUCGACCGAUCCUGAUGUCUUCGGAUGGAUUUGAGUACGAGCGUAGCUGUGGGGACCCGAAAGAUGGUGAACUAUGCCUGAAUAGGGCGAAGCCAGAGGAAACUCUGGUGGAGGCUCGCAGCGGUUCUGACGUGCAAAUCGAUCGUCAAAUUUGGGUAUAGGGGCGAAA